UAUUUGAAAGUCAAAAGUAAAUUGAUUGACGGUUCAUCAAUUAGUUGCUUUUCUCUUGUAGCCGGAGAUACUUUCCACUCAAAUUUUCUACAGGUUCAUUUAGUUGCAGGGCAAAUAUUCCACAGAGAACUAUUUUUACCACAUUUUAUUUUGUAGGAAAUCAUAGAAUCCAGAAAACUUACUUUUAUCUGUUGUAGUUUCUUGAUCAUCAUCUAAAUGCUCUAAACUGGUCAUCCAGCAAAGCUUCUAUAAGGACUUUUCCUUUUAACACAAAAUUGUGAUGAUAGUUGAUACAGUUACAUUCUAAACAAGGUCGCUAAACUGUUAUAUGGUUAAGUGGUCUAUAGAAGUGUAUGUAGAAUCUAAAAUCUAUGAAUAUCUAUUUUUAAUUUAAUAAUCUCUCUCUCUGCUAGUUGUGGUGGAUGUCACAUUAGUUGCUAAACUGUAUUCUAUUGACUGUUUUUCUGUUCACUUCUUAUUAGAUUAUGCAGUCUUGUAUUUUUGGGUAUAUGCCAUUAUUGGUCUAGCUUGAAAUGAUUAUUUGCUGCUGAAGAUGACAAAAACCACAAUAGUAUCUGCUUAUGAUUGGCUAUGUGAAUCUAUUUUGCCAUAUUUUUGUAAAGUCUGUGUGUCUGAAUGGUUAAGGUUUGUUAUAUUCUAAAUCACCAUUAUACAUUAAAACUUCUUUGGUCUUCCUCUCCUCCGAAGUCUCUAAUGUGGACUAAUUCAGAUGCUUUUUUUGUGCAGUGUAAAGUUCUCAUCAUACAUGACUGCCCUAUGUAUCUUUAAAUUUUUUGCUACACCUUAAUUAUCACAUACAAAAUCAUAUCUCGUAGGAAAUUUCUUGCAAGACUAUCUAACCUAUCUAACCAACAUGAUGUUGUACAUCAGUAUUGUCAACCAGAGUGACGUAGAAAGGAUGACUACUACAGUAAUAGUCUUAUAAAACUUUGUUUUGAACUAGAGGGACAUAAUUUGAUUGAACUACACAUGUGAUGUCCUCUAUGGUCUCUACUCUUUCUAGGUAGUUGAGAUGAGAUGGUCUUUUGAUGGCUAGUCGAACGAUGGUGUUACAAGAUUAGUAAGUUCUAUUUCAGAAAUAGACCUUGUUAAAUUUAUCUAUAAGGUUGAAAAGGUUUUUUUUUCUUUUUUUAUAUGGUUGAGGUUGGGCUUUCUGGGUGACUAGAUGUAAAUUUGGACCAGUGCUUUAAAAUGCAAAAAAAUAACAUAAGUAUCUUUUGAUGUAGCUUGAUCCAGCCCCUCUAAUAUUAAAGAAUAACAGUACUUCAUUAAAAUAGUAUCUUCCCCCAUGCCAUUUCUGAUCCUUUCAUACUUCAUAUAUAAAUCUUUUUCAAACACAAAUUGAAGAAAAAUAUCUUAUCAUGUGAAUGCUUCCAUAACAAAAAGGUUAGUGCUGAAAAGGAUUUCAUGGGAAGAAAACCAUCUUAUCUGCACCUAGAUGCAGUGGCAAUAGCGCAAAUAUUCAUGAACCAUUUCAAAUGGUGAGGAUGAAGAAGUUGGUCUGAGUAUUGGCUCAGAUUUUUGACUUGGAAUGCGGAAAUAUAUUCAGAUAAGGAAAUUUAAUUCAUGGAUAUAAUUAUCAAAGGAUAAUUACAUAAUACAACUACAAGGAACAAAAUAGUACAAAAAGGAACAAAAUAGGAAGGAGAAACAAUAACAUGGGAAUAGAAUUACAUGUUAGACAUCCCAUAAAGAUUAAAGCUAUUAGGAUAGGAUUAGAUGCUGAUCUAUUGAGUUGUGGAAUUGUGAUAAAAGGUUUAAGAUGAGGAAAUUUACUCGUCUAUGUAUAUACCAUAUACACAGGCAAAGGGUACAUGCAGCAUUGCACUUACUAUUUGGAUACUAAAAACAAACAUGAAACUAUGGGAGGAUAAAAAGACAGAAUUAAUGUGUGGCACCAGUCUUCUCAAAACUAAAAUGGUUUCAUUGCUAGAAAUAUCAAUGAUGACCAAGCUAAGACAAGUGCUGAAAAAUAUUUGGAG
rnacentral:lncRNA from 1 species